UUAUAGUUUAAUUAGAAAAUAAUUAUAUAUUUCUUCCGUCUCAUAAAGGUGUUCUUUUUUUUUAUUUGUCUCAAAUUAUUUGUUUAUUUAAAAUAUGAAUGUGAUAUUUAUUUUUUUCCAUUAAUUUACUCUUAUUUAUUGUAUUUGAAAUUAUAUAAUUACUUCAUUAUCUAUUAUUAAUAAGGUUUUUUUAAUAAAUGGUAUCCGUUUUAUCAUUAAAAUUAAUAUAAUUAAUUAUUAUUUUAAAAAAU
rnacentral:lncRNA from 1 species